rnacentral:rRNA from 1 species
GAUGAACGCUGGCGGCGUGCCUAAUACAUGCAAGUCGAGCGAACGGACGAGGAGCUUGCUUCUCUGAUGUUAGCGGCGGACGGGUGAGUAACACGUGGAUAACCUACCUAUAAGACUGGGAUAACUUCGGGAAACCGGAGCUAAUACCGGAUAAUAUUUUGAACCGCAUGGUUCAAAAGUGAAAGACGGUCUUGCUGUCACUUAUAGAUGGAUCCGCGCUGCAUUAGCUAGUUGGUAAGGUAACGGCUUACCAAGGCAACGAUGCAUAGCCGACCUGAGAGGGUGAUCGGCAACACUGGAACUGAGACACGGUCCAGACUCCUACGGGAGGCAGCAGUAGGGAAUCUUCCGCAAUGGGAGAAAGCCUGACGGAGCAACGCCGCGUGAGUGAUGAAGGUCUUCGGAUCGUAAAACUCUGUUAUUAGGGAAGAACAUAUGUGUAAGUAACUGUGCACAUCUUUACGGUACCUAAGCAGAAAGCCACGGCUAACUACGUG